UAUGUUAUUGCAGGAGCUGGAGAGGAAGCAAAGACUUGGCUUCAAGGUCACCCCACCCAGACUGUGAUCUAAUCCAGGAAGGGCAACUAUGCCUUGGACAAUAGCCCUACUUUACCUCCGGGUUUCCAGCCGGUGAGGGUAUGCAGGUCUGUUGUAGUUAGCCGGACCCACUGAGGUAGACUGUGGUGCUGGGCCAGUCCUGGACCCAGUUUUCUUCACUUCCACCACUCCUCGCCUGCUCAUUUCAGAGCCAUGGUGAUGUCCACACCAUACUGCCUUGAGUCGGGAGCAUAUUUGAAGAACUGGGCCUCCCCCACUGUGGGCUGUGUUCCUGGGAGCCAUGGCUGGCUGUGUGGCCAGCACACAGCCCCUGUAGCCUGCAGAGCCUACCAUGACUCAGCCAGAAGACCACACCCUUACUUUGCUCUGUGACUUGGGUCACUCUGCUCCCUCAGUUUAUCUCUGGAGAAAUGGGAGCAUAAGAUCCCACGAAGCCCGGGCCUAGGGCUCUCUCCAUGUCCACAAAGAUGAGGGCCAAGGCAGCCCUCCUCCCCCAGGCAGCCCAGGCCUGGUCCCACUCCUGCUGUCUACUGCUCCUCCUAAAGGUCUCCACCCACACAUUCCUGCCGAAUAAGCAGCUGCCUCUCCUCCUGGCUGCAGGGGCCAAUCUUCCUUAGUUGCUCUUCACAGUUUAAGAGGCUCUGGUGUCUCUAUAACCCCACUUCUCAGGCGUGGAGACAGACUGAGUAGGCUCAAGUUCUUCCGUCUCUGUCACCGGGGUUUACCAGUGACUCCAGCUGUAGGGCUGGCCCAGACCCUGGGAAAGGGCCACUUGGACUGGGGCUGUGAUGGGUGUUGGGACACUUCCCUAG
rnacentral:lncRNA from 1 species